rnacentral:rRNA from 1 species
CACUGGCAGAUGUGGACCACGCGGCGGCAUUAGACUAGUUGGUGAGGUAACGCCUCACCAAGGCGACGAUGCGUAGCCGAACCUGAGAGGGCGUAUUCGGACACACUGGAACUGAGACACGGCCCAGACUCCUACCGGAGGCAGCAGUUAGGGAAUCCUCCGCAAUGGACGAAAGUCUGACCGAAGCAACGCCGCGUGAGUGAUGAAGGUUUUCGGAUCCUAAAACUCUGUUGUAAGGGAAGAACAAGUACCGGUUCGAAUAGGGCGGUACCUUGACGGUACCUAACCAGAAAGCCACGGCUAACUACGUGCCAGCAGCCGCGGUAAUACGUAGGUGGCAAGCGUUGUCCGCGAAUUAUUGGGCGUAAAGCGCGCGCAGGCGGUUUCUUAAGUCUGAUGUGAAAGCCCCCGGCUCAACCGGGGAGGGUCAUUGGAAACUGGGGAACUUGAGUGCAGAAGAGGAGAGUGGAAUUCCACGUGUAGCGGUGAAAUGCGUAGAGAUGUGGAGGAACACCAGUGGCGAAGGCGACUCUCUGGUCUGUAACUGACGCUGAGGCGCGAAAGCGUGGGGAGCGAACAGGAUUAGAUACCCUGGUAGUCCACGCCGUAAACGAUGAGUGCUAAAGUGUUAGAGAGUUUCCGCCCUUUAGUGCUGCAGC